GAGAUUAUUGGGCCUAAGCAUCCGCUAGCCGGCUCUGUAAGUCCUCGGUUAAAUCUGUACGCUUAACGUACAGGCUGCCGGGAAUACUGCAUAGCUAGGGAGUGGGAGAGGUAGACGGUACUCGGUAGGAAGGGGUAAAAUCCUUUGAUCUAUUGAUGACCACCUGUGGCGAAGGCGGUCUACCAGAACACGUCCGACGGUGAGGGAUGAAAGCUGGGGGAGCAAACCGGAUUAGAUACCCGGGUAGUCCCAGCUGUAAACUAUGCAAACUCAGUGAUGCAUUGGCUUGUGGCCAAUGCAGUGCUGCAGGGAAGCCGUUAAGUUUGCCGCCUGGGAAGUACGUACGCAAGUAUGAAACUUAAAGGAAUUGGCGGGGGAGCACAA
rnacentral:rRNA from 1 species